CAUUGCUGUUCUUGCGGCUGAAGAUACUGGCCCAUAAUUCUUCAUCAUCUAAUCAGCAAAUGCGCCCAGGCAGUGUUCUGGGAGGCCUUGAGAUGCAGAGAUUUAAAAGGGAAAAUGUAGGGACUGGAGAAGGAUUAGACUAAAGGGUUAUGGCUGACCGAGCUGAGUGACAAAAGCCUGAAGGAUAGUUGUGGGGUUUGUGUAACUCAGAUGAGGAGAAGAGGCUAGAGGAGGGAUUGAACAGGAAGUGUUUCUUUCUGCUCACUAUGCAGUAUGUGGAAGCACAGGUGGUCUUUGGGUUCUCACACUGUUCUCUUUCUCUAACUAAAGAUCACUGACUGUAUGGGAACCCAUGUUUACAGACAGAGUGCUGAUCGACUUGACGAGUUGACUUCUGCCUCCUUAAACUGACUUUUUCCAAGAAGUUGAUUCCCAAGAGAAUAUUGACGAUGGCUUUCCAGCCUUACAUCUGAGUUGCCCAUAGCUGGGUUUGCCAUGUUGAGAUUAGACUUCUGCCAGUUUCGGAAGGACAGUUGACAUGAACUUGAGGGAAAAGUUGGGACCAGCCAUCACUUUCACUUCUGCUGGCUCUUUUGACCGAUUUUCAGUUCGUCACAGUUCUCAGUCCAAGCUGAUAGGAAUACAUUUUGUAAAGAAGUAUAAAUCAGACAU